GCCUGGCUGGCUCAGUCGGUUAAGCAUCUGACUUUGGCUCAGAUAAUGAAUCUCACGGUGUGUGGGUUCGAGCCCCAUGUCAGGCU